UACGUAGGAUCCGAGCGUUGUCCGGAAUUACUGGGUGUAAAGGGCGUGUAGGUGGAACUUUAAGUCGGUGGUGAAAUCCUGCAGCUCAACUGCAGAAUGGCCCUCGAUACUGAAGUUCUUGAGUGCGGCAGAGGGAGAUGGAAUUCAUGGUGUAGCGGUGAAAUGUGUAGAUAUCAUGAAGAACACCGGUAGCGAAGGCGGUCUCCUGGUCCGUAACUGACACUGAGGCGCGAAAGCGUGGGGAG
rnacentral:rRNA from 1 species